rnacentral:tRNA from 1 species
GGGUUUGUGGCUCAGUGGUACAGCGCGCACCUUGCACAUGUGAGGCACUGGGUUCGAUCCUCAGCACCA